GUGGCGGACGGGUGAGUAAUGCUUGGGAACUUGCCUUUGCGAGGGGGAUAACAGUUGGAAACGACUGCUAAUACCGCAUAAUGUCUUCGGACCAAACGGGGCUUCGGCUCCGGCGCAAAGAGAGGCCCAAGUGAGAUUAGCUAGUUGGUAAGGUAACGGCUUACCAAGGCGACGAUCUCUAGCUGUUCUGAGAGGAAGAUCAGCCACACUGGGACUGAGACACGGCCCAGACUCCUACGGGAGGCAGCAGUGGGGAAUAUUGCACAAUGGGGGAAACCCUGAUGCAGCCAUGCCGCGUGUGUGAAGAAGGCCUUCGGGUUGUAAAGCACUUUCAGUUGUGAGGAAAAGUUAGUAGUUAAUACCUGCUAGCCGUGACGUUAACAACAGAAGAAGCACCGGCUAACUCCGUGCCAGCAGCCGCGGUAAUACGGAGGGUGCGAGCGUUAAUCGGAAUUACUGGGCGUAAAGCGCACGCAGGCGGUUUGUUAAGCUAGAUGUGAAAGCCCCGGGCUCAACCUGGGAUGGUCAUUUAGAACUGGCAGACUAGAGUCUUGGAGAGGGGAGUGGAAUUCCAGGUGUAGCGGUGAAAUGCGUAGAUAUCUGGAGGAACAUCAGUGGCGAAGGCGACUCCCUGGCCAAAGACUGACGCUCAUGUGCGAAAGUGUGGGUAGCGAACAGGAUUAGAUACCCUGGUAGUCCACACCGUAAACGCUGUCUACUAGCUGUGUGUGUCUUUAAGACGUGCGUAGCGAAGCUAACGCGCUAAGUA
rnacentral:rRNA from 1 species